GAGACAGGGAGCUUCGAUUUCCUCCAGUCCACUGUCAUUCCUUCCCUUCUUCUGUCGUCCUCCACUGUACUUUAUCUCUCCCCUCUAGUUUCCGGUGAUCGCGCGGUGAAAGUGGAGACUCGGCGUCUCUAUGUGAUGCCCAGGUUGUCCGUCGUGCUUCCCUGUCUCUACGUGUCUUCUUUGUUGCUUCUCUGUUCUCGCUGUUCACGUACACGUAGCUGGGGUCCGAGAAUCAGGUCGCCGGAGCUGCUCGUGAUCUUCUUUUUCCUUCUUCUUCUAUUGUUGCUGUGGUUGAGUGCAUCUGGUCUUUGACUCCCUUUAGCCUGCUUGUGCAUUUCCGAAGAGAGAAAGAGGAGUGGUCUGCCAUUGGUUGAAGCUGGAAACAGGAGAACUCCUCUCCCUGUUCUGUCGGCUUCUUCUCGUUCUCUCCCUCCUCUGUUACUGUUGGUACUUAAGACAAGUGAAGUGCAGUAAAUCAAAACUACUGUAUAUGUUGGUUUUUGAAUGAGGUGACAUUAUCAUGGCUCCUGCAUCACGGUAAAUCAAAUAUAGAAGAAGCCAAAAUAAAGAGUUAUUUGAAGAUUUGCAAGACCCAAUCCUUCUUUUGUGGGACUGCAAUGUGACCGUAUUUGAUGAAGAGAACGAUGAUAUGUUUUUGGAUGAAUGAUUUCAUUUCCCCUUGACCAUUUGUUGUGAGCAGUAAUGAUAUAUUAAGUCCAAACCAAAUCGCUCAAGCAAAAUCAUGUGUCAUGGAUUUCAACCUCCCAAGCUUGUAAUUUUUCAUUGUGUCGAACUUAGUCCACUUCUUUAUCAAAAUAGAAUUAUGUUCCUGUAUUGGGGUAAAAAUGCUUAAUUAUCUCUCCCCUGAUGUUAAUAGGCUUGUUUCCUUCUUCUAGGUGGUUAAUAUUUUUCUGCUGAGGCAUUUAGAGGCUUUCAUCCUUAGUUCAAAUGAUCAUGUA